rnacentral:rRNA from 1 species
GGAAUGGUCUCGACUUAGAGUUAAAUUGUGACGCCUAGGGGUUACCUGUGUACUGCUACGGGUCCGGAAUCAAACUUAAAGGCGCACGGUUCAAUAAUAAAUGGGCAACCUGCCUGUAAAAUCGGGAUAACUCGCGAAAACGUGAGCUAAUACCGGAUAACACUUUUCAUCUCAUGGUGAGAAGAUAAAAGACGGUUUCGGCUGUCACUUACAGAUGGGCCCGCGGCGCAUUAGCUAGUUGGUGAGGUAACGGCUCACCAGGGCGACGAUGCGUAGCCGACCUGAGAGGGUGAUCGGCCACACUGGGACUGAGACACGGCCCAGACUCCUACGGGAGGCAACAUUAGGGAAUCUUCCGCAAUGGACGAAAGUCUGACGGAGCAACGCCGCGUGAGUGAUGAAGGUUUUCGGAUCGUAAAACUCUGUUGUUAGGGAAGAACAAGUUGGGUAGUAACUGACCCAACCUUGACGGUACCUAACCAGAAAGCCACGGCUAACUACGUGCCAGCAGCCGCGGUAAUACGUAGGUGGCAAGCGUUGUCCGGAAUUAUUGGGCGUAAAGCGCUCGCAGGCGGUCUUUUAAGUCUGAUGUGAAAGCCCACGGCUUAACCGUGGAGGGUCAUUGGAAACUGGAGGACUUGAGUACAGAAGAGGAGAGUGGAAUUCCACGUGUAGCGGUGAAAUGCGUAGAGAUGUGGAGGAACACCAGUGGCGAAGGCGACUCUCUGGUCUGUAACUGACGCUGAGGAGCGAAAGCGUGGGUAGCGAACAGGAUUAGAUACCCUGGUAGUCCACGCCGUAAACGAUGAGUGCUAGGUGUUAGGGGGUUUCCGCCCCUUAGUGCUGAAGUUAACGCAUUAAGCACUCCGCCUGGGGAGUACGGCCGCAAGGCUGAAACUCAAAAGAAUUGACGGGGGCCCGCACAAGCGGUGGAGCAUGUGGUUUAAUUCGAAGCAACGCGAAGAACCUCACCAGGUCUUGACAUCCUCUGAUACCUCUAGAGAUAGAGUUUUCCCUUCGGGGACAGAGUGACAGGUGGUGCAUGGUUGUCGUCAGCUCGUGUCGUGAGAUGUUGGGUUAAGUCCCGCAACGAGCGCAACCCUUGAUCUUAGUUGCCAGCAUUCAGUUGGGCACUCUAAGGUGACUGCCGGUGACAAACCGGAGGAAGGUGGGGAUGACGUCAAAUCAUCAUGCCCCUUAUGACCUGGGCUACACACGUGCUACAAUGGAUGGAACAAAGGGAAGCGAACCCGCGAGGUCAAGCCAAUCCCAUAAAACCAUUCUCAGUUCGGAUUGUAGGCUGCAACUCGCCUACAUGAAGCCGGAAUCGCUAGUAAUCGCGGAUCAGCAUGCCGCGGUGAAUACGUUCCCGGGCCUUGUACACACCGCCCGUUACGGCUCCCGAGUUCGUAACUCUUGGGGUAGCCUAGCUACCUACUCGAGCCAGUUACGCCUCUGAGUCAUACACCCC